rnacentral:rRNA from 1 species
UCCAGACUCCUACGGGAGGCAGCAGUGGGGGAUAUUGCACAAUGGGGGGAACCCUGAUGCAGCGACGCCGCGUGAACGUAGAAAUAUUUCGGUAUGUAAAGUUCUAUCAGCAGGGAAGAAAAUGACAGUACCUGACCAAGAAGCUCCGGCUAACUACGUGCCAGCAGCCGCGGUAAUACGUAGGGAGCAAGCGUUGUCCGGAAUUACUGGGCGUAAAGGGCGCGUAGGUGGGCGCUUAAGUCAGGUGUGAAAACUCCGGGCUCAACCUUGAGACUGCCCUUGAAACUGGGUGUCUUGAGGGCAGGAGAGGAAAGUGGAAUUCCUAGUGUAGCGGUGAAAUGCGUAGAUAUUAGGAGGAACACCAGUGGCGAAGGCGACUUUCUGGACUGUACCUGACGCUGAGGCGCGAAAGCGUGGGUAGCGAACGGGAUUAGAUACCCGCGUACC